rnacentral:lncRNA from 10 species
CAGGCUGCUGGAACCAGCAGUGGUAACCCACUGGGUCACCUACCACAGGGUGGAAGCUUUGUUCUUUUGCUCUUUGCAAUAAGUCUUGCUGCUGCUCACUUUUUGGGUCCACAGUGCCUUUAUGAGCUGUAAUACUCACUGCGAAGGUCUACAGCUUCACUCCUGAGGCCAGCGAGACCAUGAGCCCACCAGCAGGAAUGAACAACUCCGGACGGGAGGAAGAAACAACUCCAGAUGCGCUGCCUUAAGAGCUGUAACACUCACCUUGAAGGUUUGCAGCUUCACUCUUGAAGCCAACGAGACCACGAACCCACCAGAAGGAAGAAACUCCGAACAUGAUCAGAAGGAACAAACUCCAGACACAUCACCUUUAAGAACUGUAACGCUCACCACGAGGGUCUGCAGCUUCAUUCUUGAAAUCUAGCACGGAUGGAGCCCUGAAGUUUCUGAGGCUCCCCAAAGGAAUUAAAAGCUUGGUAGAAAAGGGUGGAAUGCCCAGGGGCCAGCAAUGAUGAGAUGGAGAGAGACUUGCUGGGAUGGAUGCUGGGGGUGACUGCCCAACCAGAGACCAAAGGAAGGCAGCGUUUACAAAGCCAAACCUUGGAGCUCUGCACAGCACCUAGGCCAAAAGCAAUCAACAGCCCAAGCCCACACAACAGCACAUUAGAAAACAUGCCAGCUUCCCUCACAUCACGAAGUCAAAGAAACGAAAACCGCAAGGCUGAAUUGCGCAAUGCCUAGAACACGAGAAAGAAACAAAAUGGAAAGAAGAAACUCAUUUAAAGGGCAAGUAAUUAUUGACAAUUAUACACGAUUGAGAGAUAAGCUUCAAUUUUAAUACAAAAUAUAGCCAAACUUGUUUCUUGAACUUGCAUAAACGCACUCAUCAGACACCUUAAGGAAGUCAAGACUUACUGUUGAAUCCUACCUUCAUUGGCUUGUAGGAACACUGACAUGAACUCUGAUCAUCUACACACUGAUGAUAUCCUAGAUAGAACAGCAGUCAGCAAAUGUUUUCUGUAAAAAGCCAAAUAGAAAAUAUUUUAGACUUUGUGAGCCAUGCAGCCUCUGUCACAACUACUCAAUUCUCUGUUGUACAAUAAAUAUGUGAAUGAGAAUAGUUGUUCCAAUAAAACUUUAUUUAUAAAAAUAAGUGGUGGGCCUUAGUUUGCCAACCUCUGCCCUAG